rnacentral:rRNA from 1 species
AUGAACGCUGGCGGCGUGCUUAACACAUGCAAGUCGAACGAUUAACCCGCCCUCGGGCGGUUAUAGAGUGGCGAACGGGUGAGUAACACGUGACCAACCUGCCCCUUGCUCCGGGACAACCCAGGGAAACCUCGGCUAAUACCGGAUACUCCGCGCAGCCCGCAUGGGAGGCGCGGGAAAGCCCAGACGGCAAGGGAUGGGGUCGCGGCCCAUUAGGUAGACGGCGGGGUAACGGCCCACCGUGCCCGCGAUGGGUAGCCGGGUUGAGAGACCGAUCGGCCACAUUGGGACUGAGAUACGGCCCAGACUCCUACGGGAGGCAGCAGUGGGGAAUUUUGCGCAAUGGGGGAAACCCUGACGCAGCAACGCCGCGUGCGGGACGAAGGCCUUCGGGUUGUAAACCGCUUUCAGCAGGGAAUAUAGUGAAGGUACCUGCAGAAGAAGCUCCGGCUAACUACGUGCCAGCAGCCGCGGUAAUACGUAGGGAGCGAGCGUUAUCCGGAUUCAUUGGGCGUAAAGCGCGCGUAGGCGGCCCGUCAAGCGGGGUUUCAAAUCCAGGGGCUCAACCUCUGGCCGGACCCCGAACUGGCGGGCUCGAGUGCGGUAGAGGAAGGUGGAAUUCCCAGUGUAGCGGUGAAAUGCGCAGAUAUUGGGAAGAACACCGAUGGCGAAGGCAGCCUUCUGGGCCGCCACUGACGCUGAGGCGCGAAAGCUAGGGGAGCGAACAGGAUUAGAUACCCUGGUAGUCCUAGCCGUAAACGAUGGGCACUAGGUGUGGGGGAGCAUCUCCUCCGUGCCGCAGCCAACGCAUUAAGUGCCCCGCCUGGGGAGUACGGCCGCAAGGCUA